ensembl:miRNA MIR204 microRNA 204
UUCCCUUUGUCAUCCUAUGCCUGAGAAUAUAUGAAGGAGGCUGGGAAGGCAAAGGGACGU